AUUGAACGCUGGCGGCAGGCCUAACACAUGCAAGUCGAGCGGGAACUUCGGUUCUAGCGGCGGACGGGUGAGUAAUGCGUAGGAGGCUACCCGACAGAGGGGGAUACCAGUUGGAAACGACUGUUAAUACCGCAUAAUGUCUACGGACCAAAGUGUGGGACCUUCGGGCCACAUGCUGUCGGAUGCGCCUACGUGGGAUUAGCUAGUUGGUGAGGUAAUGGCUCACCAAGGCGACGACCCCUAGCUGGUUUGAGAGGAUGAUCAGCCACACUGGAACUGAGACACGGUCCAGACUCCUACGGGAGGCAGCAGUGGGGAAUAUUGGACAAUGGGCGAAAGCCUGAUCCAGCCAUGCCGCGUGUGUGAAGAAGGCCUUCGGGUUGUAAAGCACUUUCAGUAGGGAGGAAGAGUUGAGUGUUAAUAGUACUCAGCUUUGACGUUACCUACAGAAGAAGCACCGGCUAACUCUGUGCCAGCAGCCGCGGUAAUAC
rnacentral:rRNA from 1 species